GCACACCAUCAUCAGACGGUAGGAACGGUGGAAAGAAGUCAUAGAACUUUUAAUGAAUACAUCCGGUCAUACCUAUCGGGUGAUAAAACUGACUGGAGGGCUUGAAAAUGGAAGUCAACGGAAAAAAGCAAAAUACUGCACUUUGAGCGCGCUCCAGAGUCAAGGAGGAUCGAAAAAACCGAGACAAAACGAAUGGAAAUUGGCUAUAAUCGAAAGGCUACUAGGUUUUGAAGUAUAACAGCCACAAUAACAGCUUGAGUAGAAAGGUUUGGCAAGAAUAAUCACAGAGCAAAAUUAAGUUAACCGCUGAUCUAUCCCCUUGCCGUCUUAUUCGCAAUCUUAGCUACUUCAAACAGAAAUGAAUUUAUUUUGGGCCGAACACUUUUAUACGCCAAUUCCUAAGGUAAUUUUAUCACAGAAAGCUUUGACCACCGCUUAAAUAUCCGUAGAGAGGAGUCGUGCUUGAAUCUACUUAAUGUUGACGAGUCCAAGUAUCAAGUAAAAAAAAAAGUACACGCAGUGUUAAAGUCGCGAAUUUAUGGUAGUGAGUGUUAAAUAAUCUAUCUCAGGGUACUAUUAUUGGUGGUUUAGCAAUAACAGACCAUAGCGAUUCCCAGAAAUUCGCAGAAGAAAAGUAUCAGAAGAAUUAAUUGGGCUAACCCAACUCAAUUGAGGUUGCUGAACGGAUCUGCAGAAUUUGAGAAAGAUAUUAGUUCAAAACUUCAACAGGCCAACAAUAGGACUUAUAAAAAUUAUUAAGUCGGCGACAAAGUUUUCUAAAAAUCAAAGAAACGAAUGGGAAAUAAACUGUAAAUAGACAAUUAACGUAAACAGACAAUGUCUCAAAUGAGACAAGAGAGAACGCGAGUUUCUCGACUAUCAGAUACCUUAACCUAAAAAUAUUUGCUUAUAUAGUUCUAAGGAUAGACGGACGAUCAGACGGCCAAGGCUAGAUCCUAAAAAAAGAUUUUAAACUAUUUAUAGAAUUCAUUUUAAAAUUAGAUUUUUCGUUUAUUGUUUUUUUUGGGGUUAGGACUACCUAAAACAAUAUUAGUCAAACUAGUCAAAUUUAUAAAAAAUGAUCUGAAAAUGUAAUGUUCUUAAUAAUAAAAGCAAAAGUAAAUUAAAUAAGCCGCGAAGCUUUAGAUGUAAUUUAUAAAUUGUUAAGCCUGAAAAAUCUCCAGCACAUUGAGCACAUUAAGGAGGGAGUUUGCAUGAAGCCACAAUUAGGCAGCAGUAUUCCUUUGGUAAUUGUUUUGAUGUGUUUCUACGUCACCUUUCAGCUCCAUCGCGUUUAUAGCCGCUAGAGGAAUUUGACCACCGUACUUAAGGAACAAAGGAGUUAGCAGGCAACACAUUGGUGUGGCAAAAUCGGAUGCUGUUCUUCAAUUCA